AAAUCUCUUUGCCUUUUGGCUUAGAUCAAGUGUAGUAUCUGUUCUUUUCAGUGUAACAACUGAAAUUUAUUGUUGUUUCUCUUUGAGAUCAACUUAAAUUUUACGUUUGAAUUACCAAACUUUGAUUUUUGGAGAAUUUAGGUCUUUUAUUCAUUCUAAGUUCUUUUAGAAAUUAGAAUAAAUGGAGAUUAUAGUGUCGUUGCCAUUGCACAUUAGGAUUCAUUUCUUAAGUAGGCUCCUGACGCA